rnacentral:rRNA from 1 species
UACAGGGGGUGCAAACGUUGCUCGGAAUUAUUGGGCGUAAAGCGCGCGUAGGCGGCCGCUUAAGUCGGAUGUGAAAGCCCCUGGCUCAACUGGGGAAGUGCACCCGAAACUGAGUGGCUUGAGUACUAAAGAGGGUCGCGGAAUUCCCGGUGUAGAGGUGAAAUGCGUAGAUAUUGGGAGGAACACCAGUGGCGAAGGCGGCUCACUGGACCGGUACUGACGCUGAUGCGCGAAAGCGUGGGGAGCAAACAGG